GCUAUUCAGCUUUGCGAUUCACCUCCUCUCACUCGUCUCUCUUGCUUUCACUUACGGAGCCUGCAACAAAGUUUUCUCGGAAGCAUUGUUGAAUUUAGUAGGAGACAGUGAACUUUUCAAGACCAGGAAUUCAUUUCAUUUUAUUUUUAUCACGCAUCCAUGUAGAUUGAUCUAUAAACUUGUUUAUAGAAGAAUUUGAAUAUCUUACAUAUUCAUCCAUAGUGAAGUAAAUUCUGAGAAAAUUUGUGUGCUACGCUGAUAUAAGGAUGAGAACUUGUGUAUUGUUUUAUUGAUUAUAGUUAAAAGGGUUAUUUGCGGUAAAACCCCUAAAGUAGGGAGGUUUUUGCAACUAACCCCCAAUUCUAAAA